rnacentral:lncRNA from 1 species
UUUUUUUUUUUUUUUUUUUUUCCUGAAAGAGCAUGAAAAAGAAAAUGCAGUGACCACUUGUACAGUUUGGUGCCACUGCUUGAUGUGUGCUAAGGAACCAGUAGUUCUACCCACCGUUGCAUUUACACGAUCAUUGCAAAUGUCAACACAGUGAAAGGGUAUUUAAUGUCUUAGUAUGAAAAUAAUUUGAUCAGCCAUCUAGGGACCACACUUUGAGAAGUGCCAUUCAAGCCACUGAGAAUACUCACAAAGUCCCUGCUUUAAUAAUGUGGGGAUUACACUAUUCUGGAGAUCAAGCACUGGGGGAGAACACUACAGACAAAUAUACAAAUAAAUGAAUAAGCUAACAUGGAGUAGUAAGUGAUACAAUGUAUAUAUAGCAGAGUGGUACUGUAGAGAAGAAAGACCAGAACUGAGGGAUUACUUUAUACUGAAUGGUCAGGGAAGCACCUCUGAGGCAGUGACACUGGAGCUGAACCAUAACUGACAAGGGCCAGUCAUGUAAAUAUCUGGAGAAGGAAAUUUCCAGGCAGAAUAAAGAGACGGUGCAAGUUCCUGAGACGGUAUUGGGCUGUGCAUGUCUGUGGACAAAGAAGCAAAGAAGACUAAUGCGAUUGAAGCCAGCCAAUGAGGUGCCUAAUAGCAGGAGACAUGUUUGUAGAGGUCACAUCCAUUUAUAGGCUAUCUUAGUCCAUUCAGGCUUUUAUAACAAAAUACCUUAGACUGGGUAAUUUUUAAACAACAGAAUUUAUCGUUCACAGUUCUUGAGGCUGGGAAGUCCAAGAUCAAGGUGCCUGGCAGAUUCAGUGUCCUGCUUCAAUGAUGGCACCUUCUAGCUAUGUCCUCACAUGGUAGGAGGAGUGAACAAGUUCCCUCAGAUCUCCUUUAUAAGGGCACUAAUUCAACUCGUGAGGGUGGAACCAUCAUGACCUAAUCACGUUCCAAAGUCCCCAUCAUCUAAUACCAUCAUCACAUUGGGGAUUAGGUUUCAACACUUGAAUUUUGACGGAAGGGGGCCCAAAAAAUUCACCUGACAGAUUGGUGUUCUCUGGAGAGAAUAUGGAAUUUGCCUUCAAGUUCUGUUUUUGUGAACUGCUAGUAGGAUGACUUGAGUCAAGUUGCUUAGAGUCAUUAUUUGGAUUUCCCCAGGAACCAGGCCCUGAGGCAGAGUUUGCAUGCAUGAUAUUUACUGGGUGUAGGGGCAGACCCUGGGGAUUCACACCUGUGUUGCAGUAAGAGAAGCAGAACAGAAAAGAGGCAAAAGAUGAGCUGUGAUGAAGUUUCAGAAGAAGAUUCAGCUGAUCCUACAAUGAAAAAUGUAGCUGGGAUAGGAUGGUCCUUAAGGAAUGUCCUGAAUACAGGCAAGGGAAUUAAGUUUUGUACCCUUUUAUUGGCAAAUCAGUAGAUGUGAGCCACUUCAGGGAGGGUGCCUGAACUUGGGCAAGGCAACUACUUUUGGCACAGGGCAAUUCCUGCAGAGAGAAAUAAACUGAGAUCCAUUAGCAGCCUCCCAUUCUGGCUAGGGGAAGG